rnacentral:rRNA from 1 species
GAUAAACGCUGGCGGUGUGCAUGAGACAUGCAAGUCGAACGAAUGAACCCGGGCUUGCCUGGGUUCGUUAGUGGCGAACGGCUGAGUAACGCGUAGGUGACCUGCCCGGAAGUGGGGAAUAACUGCCCGAAAGGGUGGCUAAUACCGCAUGUGGCCAUACGUUCAUUCGUAUGACCAAAGCCGCAAGGCGCUUCCGGAGGGGCCUGCGUUCGAUUAGCUCGUUGGUGGGGUAACGGCUCACCAAGGCGACGAUCGAUAGGUGGUCUGAGAGGAUGAUCACCCAGACUGGGACUGAGACACGGCCCAGACUCCUACGGGAGGCAG